AUUAUUAUAGUUUAUAAAAACAUUGGAUUUUCAGACCAAAAAAGGGUAUUAACCCUAAUAAUG
rnacentral:tRNA from 1 species